AUCGACUGGAAUUACAGUCAGGAAAAACAUCCCAGGUCAGUAUGCAACUCAUCGGCCUCCAGCCGUGGAGAAAUCCCCAUUGUGCAUAGGGCAGAUCUCUGGCUCUGCAGUUCAGAUGCAAAAAGGUGGCUGCGCUUUGGGUGGAGAUGUGCAUUUUACAAAGGGGCACCUUUUCUUAUGUCAGGGUCUGAAUGUAGAUUAAGAGUUCCACAGAAGUCCACAAAGCUAUGGCAAUUCAAAAUGCCUCAGAGCCCCGUUUAUGGAAUGCAGACGAGGAAUAUGAAAGGAACAGAUGUAACAUGUUCUUAGGUAUGUGGUGAAUGUCUCAGAUGGUAAAACAAGAUGGUAGUGAGCCUAGGAACCCCUAGGGAGUUAAAUUACUUAACUGUAAUGCCUCAUCAGUCAGAAGCUUGUACUAAAAGGCUGUAGAUCCCUGGCAAAGCUGUCCGAGCAGAGAUCAGCAAAGGGCUCCCUCACACCAAGGGUUCUGCUAUCCGUGAUGCGGGUAAGAGGAAACACUUGUUGCCCUUGAGAAAAGAGCAUUAAGAUUCCUGUUCUUUUGCACCGCCCAGGUUGCUGAGAGCACGGUACUCCAACUGGCAAGAGAAAAGAGAAGAAAACUGGACACAUCCAGCAUAGGCUGGACUUUCCUUCUGGAUUCACCUACUUGACACCAGUUUGUUUGGUUGCUCCUUCUGGACACUGAGCCUCGGUUGGCUUUCUUAUACAACAUGCUGAUUUUACAGUAUGACUUGGCAAACUACAACUGAAGCAACCGGGGGAGGUAGAUUACAUUUCCAACCAAGAUGAAACAAGCUGGAGAAUAUCAGGUAAGGUGAAACACAUUCCAGGAAUCUCAGGCUCUUGGAGGGUGAAGUCUGAGGAGCACCGCUGAUUAAAGCAAUUACACAAUGCACACCUGCCCACUGUUCAUUUCUGCCUAUGCACGGCCCUCAUAUGUGGUUUGGUGCACAUAAUCUUGGGGGACCAUCCACUGAAAAGACUGGGGAACACUUCAGCUUAAAAAUACAACUUUUCUUUCUCUGAGGUUUUUUUUUUUUUUACCAUAAUCUGCUCCUUCCUCUUGGUUGCCAUGGUUACACAAAAUACUUACACUGGUACCUUUGUUACUGCCAUGUGAAGAUGAGUUAGGGAGAAGCAAGAAGCCUCCUCUUCCUGAAGAGGAAAGCGAGCAGCAGCCCCCAGGUUUCACCCCCACUCUACUCUGCAAGAGGCGGCCCCGGCAGCAGUGCUAGGCCAGCACCUCACUGUUGGCCAGACCACACCUCAGGCAGACAGAGGUGAACAUUUACAGCUCAGUUUGCUUUCAGAGAAUAUAAAAAAUUAAAAAAAAAGAAAGAAAGAAAGAAAGAAAAAGCCUAUGUUAUUGACAAGGCAAUUGUGUUGCUGUCCCCACCCAUGCUGGUUUUUCCCUCUUCUGGUCCUGUGGGAGGCCAUAGAAUCGUUAAGUUUAUUUCCACAAUCAGAAACCAGCUAGCCAUGACAGAGCUAAUAAAACAAGUGUGGGCCACAACAAACACAAGAUGGAACUCAUGUUACUCUAAUAAUAAUCCAAUCAUCAGGACUAGGCUAAUUUCCUCAUACUGCCAAGCUCCAGGCCACAAAUAAUUGACUUUAUUUUGAUUUUAGCCAACUGAGCUGUGAUUUCACCCUCUCUUCAGACUUCAGGUUAGUUUGAAGUUAGAAACUCUUUUAUCUUGACUUCUUUAAGAUGGAACAACUCAGAUCUGAGCUAAUAACUGGUUAUUAGAUUUUGAAGUCCUACUCAAGGCAAAUCCAAAAGCUAAGAGAAAUCUUCCCAGAUGCACUAAUGCCAACUAACCCAGUGCUUAUCUUUCUGCACUCAAACACACUACAAGUUUCAGUUGCCAUUUUUCUCUACAAAGGAUUUUUUAUAAUCUCACAGUUUUCACCACCUAUUUUCUUUACACUUUCACAUUAUGCCUCCAGAUCUCUGUGAACUGAUUGAUAUCCUUCUUUUUUUCUGAAAAUGUACUGCUACUAAUGGCUAACAAAUAAAACAAAUAAUACUUGCUCACUUUUUGAGCAUCUCCUUAUGGACUUUUUUCUUUUCCUGCAUGCUUUUUUCACCAGAUUGAAAUUAACACUUUUUGUUCACAAGUGAAAUAGUUAGCAGUUUAGUAUUUAGAGUCCAAAAAACACAUCAUAUUGUCAAGUGUGUUAAAAAUGUCACAGAGAAAGUUGAUUGCAAGCUUAUAAUCUAUACGCAGGAAUUCAGCCACCCAGUUUCAAUGCAUUACAUGCUUCUGCUAGGUUUAUUACAUCUCAGUUUUUCUUAAAGUAAACAGGGCUCCAUCACUGAAUUAAUUAGUAGAACAGGUAGGAACAAGAGAUUAUUUCAAAUUUUAAAUAUCAGAUAUCUGUACCAGACAUACUGUGGUAACAGAAAUUAGUACACUAGAAGAUAUCACCUGAACCAGGAAACAAAUGGAAGUGGACUUUGUGGCUUCCUAGUUUUGUAGCUGUCAAUGAAUAGCUGAAGAUUAAGCAAUAGAGUACAAAAGGCCUAUAAAAUUCUAAACAAGGGCACAUGACUAUAAACCCAGAAUCACUAUCCAGUCUGAAUGUUAGAGGCCCCUUCUCUCACAAUAAGUCAAGUUCUAUUAUAAUUAAAAAUCUGAUAAAUAGCCAUAGAUUUGGAGAAGUUCUAUAUGGCAAAGUCAACUAAGAGUAUUAAGGCAGUAGAAUUAAAUACAGGGAGUAUCUGUGGCUGUCAUGAGAAUUAAGAUAAGGAAAGUCAAGGCUGCCCAGAGCUUAUGCUGAGUAAGAGACUCCUUUAAGUUCAAAGUCACCGAGGACCUCACAUCUCAGAUUUUCAAAGCAAGAAAACAAAUAAGCAAUGUAUUUAUUUAUAGGAAACUCUUAAAGAAGUACUGGGUGCAAGAUGCUAUUUCUUGAAGAACUGAAGGUCAGAUUAAUUUGGGAAGAAACAAAGUGUUUAUUGUGAGGGACGGGCCAGAGUCCAAUGCUCAUCAAUUUUAAAAUAUAGGAAACUGUCCCAUAUUCCCCCACGGAAUAAGUUGAGAAGCAGAAAAAGCAUAGCACAGUUUCCAAAUGUGAUACAAUAGCUCUUGAGAUUGCACGGUCUGAGAGAUCAGAUAAAUGCAUUAGUAUAUCCUACAUAUGUUUUUAAAAGUACCAUAUGACACAGAAUUAUAGUAUAUAUAAACAGCACAAUAAAAAGCAGAAAUUACAAAACAGGAUCACAUCAUAAAUGCCAGAAAUUCACUGCAAAACCAUAGAUAUAGUGCAACCAAAUUUGCAACACAUAUCUUGUGUACAUAAAUUAAUUUUUAGAGACAGAAAAUGCUCUGAUAAGAUCUGCAAGAUUGGGAAGUUCAUCCAUGAACAUGUAAGGACUUGAAAAGAAAGCUGGAAAAAGACUUACUGUCUCCAUGGUAUCAGGGAACUGGUCCUGGAUAUAACUUCUCAUAAUUGUAGGAGGAAAAAAACUAACUUUGCUACCAUGGAAACAGAAGGGUGCAAUGUAACUGGUUAUUACUUGUCUCCCUUAACAAGACUGAUUCCUAACAUGUUAAGGCCCUCAGAAACAUAGGUAAUUUCUUUUCCACCUGAGAAAUAAAUGUGUUACAAAAGGAACAAGGCGAAGCUAUUCAACGAGCUCACCAAGCAUGGGGAGAACAGCUCAGGAAUGACAGGUAUUUCUGAGAGCAGUGGGGGAUUACAGAGUGGAGGAAGGGAACAAAAGAAAGAUCAAGAGGGAAGAUACCAUGAUGACAGAAGAAAUCAGGGAAAGGGAGUUUGGGUUGAUUAGCGAGAUAGCAAACAAGGCCUUGGCAUUGAGUGGCUGGAUCCUGGUCCUGCUAAAGAGAACCUUUUAAGUAAACAGAGCAGCAAAUAUGAGAUGGAUGGUACCUUGCC